GAUGAACGCUGGCGGCGUGCCUAAUACAUGCAAGUCGAACGCAUAGCGAAAGGUGCUUGCACCUUUCAAGUGAGUGGCGAACGGGUGAGUAACACGUGGACAACCUGCCUCAAGGCUGGGGAUAACAUUUGGAAACAGAUGCUAAUACCGAAUAAAACUUAGUGUCGCAUGACACAAAGUUAAAAGGCGCUUCGGCGUCACCUAGAGAUGGAUCCGCGGUGCAUUAGUUAGUUGGUGGGGUAAAGGCCUACCAAGACAAUGAUGCAUAGCCGAGUUGAGAGACUGAUCGGCCACAUUGGGACUGAGACACGGCCCAAACUCCUACGGGAGGCUGCAGUAGGGAAUCUUCCACAAUGGGCGAAAGCCUGAUGGAGCAACGCCGCGUGUGUGAUGAAGGCUUUCGGGUCGUAAAGCACUGUUGUAUGGGAAGAACAGCUAGAAUAGGAAAUGAUUUUAGUUUGACGGUACCAUACCAGAAAGGGACGGCUAAAUGCGUG
rnacentral:rRNA from 1 species